UUUUUAUGAGGCAUCCCAAAACUACUUCAUUUAGAAAUACACUCACAUUCUGAAUGUAUCUUGCUUUAAUCAAACCAGUAAUAAUGAAACGCCAAUGAAACGGUGACAGCACAGUGAAGCUAUUGCUUCUCUCUCUCUCUCUCUCUCUCUCUCUCUCUCUCUCUCUCUCUCUCUCUCUACAACUGUAAGCAGGUGAAGGGCAGUGUGAGAAAGAGAGGGAGGGGAAUGACAGGAAGACACAGCAGGUGAGGAAACAAUGAGAUGAAAUGAUCAGAACAGAAAACAGACUGGCAGAAGACACAGAAAAAGAGUUUGAAAGCAUUUGAUGACAUUUGGAUUUCGACUAAUUGUGAGAUGCUUGUGACAGUGAUAUCUGUAGCCAUGGUGAUGCUGACAGGUCACCUGAUAUAUGGGCUCCCCAUGGACGGAAAAAUGAGAAAUUCCAGAGCCCUUUCAGAAGAGCUGUGUGAUGCAGGAUAUUACAAGUCUGUCACUGGGUGUUGUCAGUGCAAACCCGGUUUCUUCACCAGUCAGAAAAACAGAGAAGACAGAUGCUACCGCUGCUUCCAGAACUGCUUACCUGAAUUCAACAUGACGGUGGUGGUGGCGUGCACGAUAACAUCAGAUGUGGAGUGUCGCUGUCGGGAGGGUUUCACUUGUACCACGAUCGAUCAAUACACAGGCCAAUGUCACAGUUGUGCUCCUGUCUCCACCCCAGUCCCGUCCUCCACCUAUGCUGACGUCCCUUCAUCCACUACACCCACCACUUCAUCCACAGAGACAGCUAAGAUCGGGCUGGGUGACAAUAGUGUUGUGGUGUUGGUUUUAUGUGGGUUCAUUUCUGUAAUGUUAUCCGUCAUCAUCCUCAUGCUGUUCCUCCGGCUCUGCAGGAAGAAAGAGAAGGAAUGUUUUAAGCAUUUUGUCAGGCAGUGCUCGUUGGGUGAUAUGGAGGUGGACAGUGAGACUACACCUCCUACCAGCCAACCAAAUGAGCAGGCCCAUGCCCAGGAGAUGCUGUCACAUGGCAGCACACCCACCAAUCACAACACAGACUGCUCGUUUCAUCAGCCAAUCAGCUCAGAGCAGGCUGUGCCUCCAGCUGGCAAUUUAGGCCCUCUUCACAUCUACGGUCCCCAGACAGUUUUUGUUAGUUUGCUCAAUCAAUUUGGAUGGGAUGGUGGCGAGAAAAAAGCACAAGAACUCCAAGAAGAAUCACUAAACAACACCAACGUGUCCUACCCUCAGUCUCCCCCCGUCCAUCUGUCUGAGGAGGAAAGGAGCAGAGAGAACGAUUUUAUCUUCUUCCCAUCUCAGGAGCAAGGGAAAGAGUGCCACAUAUCUAAAGAAGAGGUGCUGUGAGGGAUGAUGGAAUACUUGUGUCCGUUCUUCUUCCGUGCUGUUCAGCUGCUGCAUGGUUUGUUUUAACUGAUGCUUUGUGAGUACCCAGUAUUAAAACUCUAACGCUGGCAGGGGAUUUCAUCUAGCGAGCAACAGGCUGCGUUAGGGGAAGACCUGGGUGUUUGACUAACAGUAUGGACGACAUAAGUGUUGCGUAUGAGCUUGACAGUUCAUGCCAGCUUGGUAGUAUUACCCAUAAUGUACGUUUACACGGAAACACUGAUUCUAAACCAUCAGAACGGCAGUGGGAUGCUGAUGUUGACUGCAUGAGGAGUCGACACCAAAGGCUCAUGAUGGUUGACUGACCCUCAGGAACAGUGAACAGGAACCCUCUGAAACCCUCAGAAGACCAAAGAUUCACAUAUGUUGAGAUAUUUAUUUUAUGUAAAGUUUAUUCAAGUCACAAAACAUUUUUAUUUAUUUGUAACUCUUAUUAAUUAUAUUACAGUUGUUAAAAACAAAAACAGUUUUUUUGUUCUCAUGCAGUUUAUCAGUGUUCGAUCACGUUAAGUCCCUGGUUAAUGUUGUCAGUGUUCUUCCUCUUUUCUUUGGUUUUUAUGCGACAGACAUGAUGGAUUAUGCCAUCAAAAAGCCCUAACAUUUUGAUGGUGGUCUGGAAAUGUCAACGUUGUUUCAAUAAGCAAUGGCUUCAUCCAUCAUAUAUUAUGUUUUAUAUUCACUAUAAUACACAUUUUUUAAGCUUGAUAUUAAUUGUAAAGUGCAAUAAAAUCAAUAAAGGUUUAUUUUUUUGGUAUGUUUCCCUGAGUACCUAAUUAAUUUCACUGCAAGAUCGCAAAUACAAAUACAACUACAAUUCUGUUUUCUAUUUUAUGGUAGCUGACACAAAAUAUUUCUUGUAACUGACAUGCUAUAUUCCCAUAACAUAUUUAAAAUGUUUUGUUCAUUCUGUUAUCAUUUUAUACAUACAGCUUCUAUAACUUCCUAAUGUUUUGAG
ensembl:lncRNA tumor necrosis factor receptor superfamily member 5-like